AGUCACUGGUACCUCCUGCUUUAGUUUUUGCUUGUAAACAGGAAUCAUGGUAUAAUUAUUGUCAGAUUAGCGAGGGAGAGCUCUGUGGAGUAAAAGUGGUCUGGAGAUUUGUUCGCUUCCGGUUGCACAUGUGACAUGCUGGUAGAAAUUAGGUAAAACGGAUGUAAAUUUGCCAGCAUUAAAGUCCCCGGCCACUAGGAGCGCCGUUUCUGGGUGAGCAUUUUCUGGUUUGAUUUUGGCCUUAUUCAGCUCUUUGAGUGCAGUCUUAGUACCAGCAAGUUGCAGAGAACGACUGCAUUGUUUGCUUAUCUAGCUAUCUAACAACUUGCAAGGCAAGUAUGUUCAUAUUACCCACCUUGAUGCAGCAGACUCUCCCACUGUGGUUCCAGCAACAGCUUUUCCAGAACCUUCCAGGCAGUGGAGGGGUGGAGGGAGUAUAAGACCCCAGCUCCUCGCAGGUUAAACCCAAAGCCCACACUCUGGAACACCACUAAACUCCGGAACACCCAGAACACUACACAGCUGCACAGCUCCAGGACACAGAAUACAUUUCACACAGCGCAAGGAAACUUCUGGAGGCCAUCCCUAACAACAGCAGCAGCUUGGCAGCCAGAGGUGUGCAGCAGCAGUUUUCUUAGGGUUGCCAUAGCAACACCCACCGAUGGCAACCUGCAAACAGUGCAGUCCAGCUCGUCACCAAGCUUAGGACCCAGGGUGGGACUGAACACCUCCCACUGCAACUGGAUAAUGGGCUUCCUGACGGGACAACCCCAAGUGCUCAGAAGGAUCCCCAUGGCAACGGCAGCAGCAUUUGUCAGCUUCAUCAGAGAGUGAGAAGAGAGUGCAUUUAUUUCAUGUGGUCAGACGCUGCAGUAUACAUCAUAUACUGUCACCUCAGAGACAUCAGUGCUUGUAAUUUAAAGUGAG
ensembl:lncRNA